rnacentral:rRNA from 1 species
AUACGGAGGGUGCAAGCGUUAUUCGGAAUCACAGGGCGUAAAGGGUGCGUAGGCGGUUUGAUAAGUCUGAUGUGAAAUCCUAUGGCUCAACCAUAGAACUGCAUUGGAAACUGUCAGACUAGAAUACUGAAGGGGCAGAUGGAAUUAGUGGUGUAGGGGUAAAAUCCGUAGAUAUCAAUAGGAAUACCGAAAGCGAAAGCGAUCUGCUGGGAAGUUAUUGACGCUGAGGCACGAAAGCGUGGGGAGCGAACGGGAUUAGAUACCCUAGUAGUCC